rnacentral:rRNA from 1 species
UACGUUCCCGGGCCUUGUACACACCGCCCGUCACACCACGAAAGUCGGCAACACCCGAAGCCGGUGGCCUAACCCUUUUGGGAGGGAGCUGUCGAAGGUGGGGUUGGUGAUUGGGGUG